UAUUUAUAAGACAGCAGAAAGGAUUAUAUGCAAAACAGACUUACCGAAUUUCAAAUAAUAUACUUCACAGUAGAAAGAUUCAUAUCAGGGAAUGGCUGAUUUUUAUGGUCCUUCCAACAGAGAAAUAAAUUCUAAGGUUUUUGUUUUGUUUUUAACAUUUUAAGAUUGUAUUUGACAAAUAUGGAAGCAGUAGCUUUUAUGUCUUGUCUGCAGUUAACUUGUUUUUCUGUGAAUUGUUUUAGUUUAUCAUCUGGACUUCAAGCUGCAGGCAGUUCUGUUUUUCCAGGCCUUUUGUCCCUCCCGGGUAUCCCUGGGUUUUCUCAGAAUCCUUCACAAUCAUCCUUGCAAGAAUUACAGCAUAAUGCGGCUGCACAGUCAGCAUUGUUACAGCAGGUCCAUUCAGCUUCGGCUCUGGAAAGCUAUCCAGCUCAGCCUGAUGGGUUUCCUAGUUAUCCUUCAGCGCCAGGAACACCAUUUUCUUUGCAACCAAGCCUGUCCCAAAGUG
rnacentral:sRNA from 1 species